CAACAACACAGCGAAGGUAACGAGGAACAGCGUGUCCACGUCUAACAUGCAUCGGUUUGUCAAACAACGUACAAGAUGCACACAAUCGAUUUCUUGUCUGGAUCAGUUGCAGGGGCAUGUGGAGUUGCUGUGGGUUACCCCCUGGACACUGUGAAGGUCCGAAUCCAAACACAGAGACAUUUCACUGGAGUGUACCAGUGCGCAGUGGAGACAUUGUCAAA